rnacentral:misc_RNA from 1 species
GAUGAAGAACGUAGCGAAAUGCGAUAAGUAGUGUGAAUUGCAGAAUUCAGUGAAUCAUCGAAUCUUUGAACGCACAUUGCGCCCUUUGGUAUUCCUUAGGGCAUGCCUGUUCGAGCGUCAUUUAAACCUUCAAGCUAAGCUUGGUGUUGGGUGACUGUCCGCUUCACGGCGGACUCGCCUCAAAAUUAUUGGCGGCCGGUACAUUGGCUUCGAGCGCAGCAGAAACGCGAACUCGGGCCCGUCGUAUUGGCUCCCAGAAGCUAUCUUCACAAUUUUGACCUCGGAUCAGGUAUGGAUACCCGCUGAACUUAAGCAUAUCAAUAAGCGGAGGA